rnacentral:tRNA from 1 species
UGGCCGGUUGGGCCGCGGACGUGGCGUUCGGGACGCCACCUCCCGCACAGGUCGCACCCGAGCCGACCAC